AAGUAAUCGCGGCUGCAAGUGCCGAAAGGCCGCAGACGAGGAAAGUCCGGGCUUCCCAGGGCAGGAUGCCGGAUAACGUCCGGUGGAGGUGACUCCGAGGAAAGUGCAACAGAGAUAUACCGCCGACUUUUGUCGGUAAGGGUGGAAAGGCGGUGUAAGAGACCACCGUCCCUCUGGUAACAGGGGGAGCCAUGUAAACCCCAUCCGAAGCAAGACCGAAUAGAGACAAAGGUGGCCCGCUAGUCUCAGGUUGGUCGCUUGAGGCGAUUGGCGACAGUCGUCCUAGAUAGAUGAUUACUCACGACAUAACCCGGCUCAUCGUCUUGCUUCU
rnacentral:RNase_P_RNA from 1 species